UCGUAGCUCAGUGGUAGAGCGGUAGACUGAAAAUCUGCGCGUCGCUGGUUCAAUUCCCGCCGAGGC
rnacentral:tRNA from 1 species